GAUGAACGCUGGCGGCGUGCCUAAUACAUGCAAGUCGAGCGAACGGACGAGAAGCUUGCUUUUCUGAUGUUAGCGGCGGACGGGUGAGUAACACGUGGAUAACCUACCUAUAAGACUGGGAUAACUUCGGGAAACCGGAGCUAAUACCGGAUAAUAUUUUGAACCGCAUGGUUCAAAAGUGAAAGACGGUCUUGCUGUCACUUAUAGAUGGAUCCGCGCUGCAUUAGCUAGUUGGUAAGGUAACGGCUUACCAAGGCAACGAUGCAUAGCCGACCUGAGAGGAUGAUCGGCCACACUGGAACUGAGACACGGUCCAGACUCCUACGGGAGGCAGCAGUAGGGAAUCUUCCGCAAUGGGCGAAAGCCUGACGGAGCAACGCCGCGUGAGUGAUGAAGGUCUUCGGAUCGUAAAACUCUGUUAUUAGGGAAGAACAUAUGUGUAAGUAACUGUGCACAUCUUGACGGUACCUAAUCAGAAAGCCACGGCUAACUACGCG
rnacentral:rRNA from 1 species